rnacentral:rRNA from 1 species
UGCUAUACAUGCAGUCGAACGCUUCUUUUUCCACCGGAGCUUGCUCCACCGGAAAAAGAGGAGUGGCGAACGGGUGAGUAACACGUGGGUAACCUGCCCAUCAGAAGGGGAUAACACUUGGAAACAGGUGCUAAUACCGUAUAACAAUCGAAACCGCAUGGUUUUGAUUUGAAAGGCGCUUUCGGGUGUCGCUGAUGGAUGGACCCGCGGUGCAUUAGCUAGUUGGUGAGGUAACGGCUCACCAAGGCGACGAUGCAUAGCCGACCUGAGAGGGUGAUCGGCCACAUUGGGACUGAGACACGGCCCAAACUCCUACGGGAGGCAGCAGUAGGGAAUCUUCGGCAAUGGACGAAAGUCUGACCGAGCAACGCCGCGUGAGUGAAGAAGGUUUUCGGAUCGUAAAACUCUGUUGUUAGAGAAGAACAAGGAUGAGAGUAACUGUUCAUCCCUUGACGGUAUCUAACCAGAAAGCCACGGCUAACUACGUGCCAGCAGCCGCGGUAAAAA